CACCGCCCGUCACACCAUGGGAGUCGAUUGCUCCAGAAGUGGGUGAGCCAACUCGCAAGAGAGGCAGCCCCCCAAGGAGUGGUCGGUAACUGGGGUG
rnacentral:rRNA from 1 species